GGGCUCUUAGUUCAUCGGUAGAAUGUUCCCCUCGCACGGGAAUGGCAGCGGGUUCAAUUCCCGCAGAGUCCA
rnacentral:tRNA from 1 species